rnacentral:lncRNA from 1 species
GUGACACUUUGUGACUCUGAGAAAAUAUUAAGAAAGGAAAUCAAUAUGCUUCUGUUUAAAGAGUCACAACCUUGGAGGCUCACCAAAUGCAAGCAGUAUGCCAUCUUCCACCAGGCCUUGGUGAGGGAUUCAUUAUCUAGCUGGGAAGCAUCAUUAAUGUUAACUGAGGGAGAUCUCAGAAACAGACAAGCUUGGGCAGUUCACAUCCUCCUAAUAUUUCAGUUCUGGAGGCUGGAAUGUCCAAAAGCAAGGUGCCAGAAGAUUCAGUGUCUGAAAAGGGCCCUCUUCCUGGUUUACAGAUGAUAGUCUUUUCAAGAUGUCCUCACAAGAAGAAAGAAAGAAUCAGAAUGUAAGGAGAAAAUGUUUUCAGCUGGAACUUAAAUAGACCGGCCACAAAUAACCCGUAAUUCUCUAUAAAUGGACUGUCAUGCUGAGAACAGCUUUAUGCCACGCUGAUCCUAGCUCCACAAGAGCCGGCUAAGCUACACUUACCCAGUAGCAGGUCACACUCCAGAGCCCACUGGAUUCUUGCUGACACAAUAAGUACGCUUCCAGCUGGGGCCAAGAACAAUCUGGACUCAGGCAGAGUGUGAAUUACAGUGAAGAGCUACCACCCUCCUAACCACAGCCAAUCAACAGAAAAUAAACACAGGUAGGAGAAGGAAUGAACUCCUUUCCACAACAUGAGUACAUCACUUUUUCUCUGUUACAGUUUUGUGGAGGAAAUCAUCCCCUUGGGAUCUUCAGCGUUGUCUCAUUUACCUCCGCUCUCUCUAGAACUGGGUGGUGCAAAAAUGCCUAAGCCUUCUUGGGAAAGGAAACUGAGUGCCACAUGCAUAGGAGGCGUGGCUAUGGGUCAGCUGGUGUACCUCUAAUGCAAGUACCUCACAUGCUUAAAAUGGUUCUUCCUCCUAUCCCUCCUUUCCGUAAACUGCACCCUCUGUUUCACCCAAAACCAAAAUGGUAAAAUCACUGAGAAAACACAAGAGUUAUUGAAAUCAAAGUGUUAACAAUUCCUUUUAAGUGUAUCUUGCGUUUUAAAUGGAUGUGGUAUCUUAAUAUCAUAUUGUGAUUAUAUUUUUAAUUUUUCAAAGCCACAACCUGACUUAAAAGAGGUCAAUAUUCUUUUCCUCCUUUAAUAAAAUUGUACUGACAAGUUUUAAUAAAAGCUGUGCCUGUUUUAUAUUUUCUUGUUGUGGAUUAUAUACAAAAUUAAAUAUAGAAUCAUUUUAUGUUCAGUUAACAACUUUUAAUUUUUUUCCUAAUUGAAAUGUAAGAGUGUACAUAUUGUUACUAUGUAAGGCUUUGUAAAAUGUAGUCCUUUUAAAGCUAAAAGAAUAGGACCAAAAUAAUUCAACAUAAACAUGUAUUAAUCAUGUGUCAAUUACCAUUUAAAUCUGUACUACUAUUUUACUAUAGAUAACUUACUGAACACCUCCCUUCAAAAUAAA